GUGGGGAAUCUUGCGCAAUGGGCGAAAGCCUGACGCAGCCAUGCCGCGUGAAUGAUGAAGGUCUUAGGAUUGUAAAAUUCUUUCACCGGGGACGAUAAUGACGGUACCCGGAGAAGAAGCUCCGGCUAACUUCGUGCCAACAGCCGCGGUAAUACGAAGGGGGCUAGCGUUGCUCGGAAUUACUGGGCGUAAAGGGCGCGUAGGCGGACAGUUUAGUCAGAGGUGAAAGCCCAGGGCUCAACCUUGGAAUUGCCUUUGAUACUGGCUGUGUUGAGUUUGGGAGAGGUGAGUGGAACUCCGAGUGUAGAGGUGAAAUUCGUAGAUAUUCGGAAGAACACCAGUGGCGAAGGCGACUCACUGGCCCAAUACUGACGCUGAGGCGCGAAAGCGUGGGGAGCAAACAGGAUUAGAUACCCCUGUAGUCC
rnacentral:rRNA from 1 species